rnacentral:pre_miRNA from 1 species
UGGGGAUGAUGAAGAUGAUGAUGAUGAUGAUGAUGAUGAUGAGGAGGAGGAGGAGGAGGAGGAUGGUGAUGAUGAUCAUCAUCAUCAUCAUCAUCAUCAUCAUGGGGA